rnacentral:tRNA from 1 species
GGUAAAAUGACUGAGAAUGAAGGUGAUAAAUUGUAAAUUUAUUAAGAGGAGCAAAAUUAUAUUAUCCUUUUUACCA